CCAGUUUUUUCUUACAGAUGUGACAUCUUAUGGAGUUGUAUUCAGUUUGCUAGACGCUUUGGAUGAAUUAGCAAAGCCAAGAGAUCCCCAAAAAGGAUUUCUUGAGAUGACAAAUCUGCAAUCGAUCUUAUUUUGGAUAAGGUCAAUAUUUGAACAUGCUGUACUGCUACAUGGCUCUGAAUC